UAAGCCUGAUGCAAUGAUUCAGUGCAAAGCCCUUUUGUGUUUUGAGGUUCUGCUCAUCAGAUAUCGGCUUUUCCCCGUAUUCUGCAGCAGCGGUGGCAGGUUUCCCAUUGGCACCGACAGGUCUUAAGAACCAAAAGGUGCAUAUUGCAAUUACCCAUCAGUAAUCUGGAUUGGACACGGAGGGAGCAAAAGGGUUCAGCAACCACUGGGAUUAAGAGAGAACAAGGAGACCAACUUCAGGGAAAACAGCAGCAACCAGACACGCUGUGAGCCAGCAGAAAACACAAGAGAAGAGGAACUGGUGUACACAAAUGAGGAAUCUUCAGUAAGAAGCAACAAAAAUGUCAGGACAUCCCCAUCUGUGCUCUCCACCUUCCCCAGUUUGUUUGCUGCCCAGCAGGUCUGACUCUCAGAAUUUGCACAGGGGAACAGCACGAAGGCAGGUAAAAGACAGUGAAAAGCAGGAGUGUAUUAAUAAACCCACGUUCUCUGGUCAGAGCAGAGACCACAGACUGUCGCUCUCUGGCCAUUUACUAGUUUUGCAGCCCUUUCCAAGUUAACAUCUCCUGCCUCAGUUUCCCCACUUGUGAAUAGCAAAGCUUUAACUCCUUUGAACUCCUUGGUAUCCACCCAGAUCUCUGAGCUUUGACCUGUACAAGUUUACAUGGUGGUUUGUACAGUCUUGCUGCACGCUAACUUCCACCACACAGCAGAUUAUUUUAACAACAGCAACUCCCUUCCAGCUCCUCACUGCUACUCACAUCACAGCUUCUCCUACAUCAACCAGAAACACAACACAGCACUGUGCCCCCCCUUGCUGUACUGCAAAAUCCUGCAUCUUAAAACAUUAAGCAAAGCUUUGUAUUGUAGCUAAUGAAUACUGUUAAAAGGGUAUUGAAUGCUUUUUCCAUUGCCGCUAAUUGAGUGAAGAGAAAACAGUCUCCACUGCUGCCAUAUCACGUCAAAAUAAUUAGCUCAACUAUAAAUAGCUCAGCUUACUCACUUUUUUCUUUUCCUCUUUUUUUAAGGUCAAGACUGCAGCCAAAAGGAGCAGCAGAGCAUCCCUCUGUUCUUGGAGUCAGACAAACAGCGAGGCAAGGAAGUGCAUCUGUAAUCAACAAUCCCCAGGCCGCACAAUUACAUCAUAAUUAGAAAAAUAAUCCCAUU
rnacentral:lncRNA from 1 species